rnacentral:misc_RNA from 1 species
AACGCAACUUGCACUUUUUGAUUUAUUCAAAAAGUAUGCCUAUUUGAGUAUAUUUUUCUAACUUAAGUUUUUUAAAAACUUAGUAAUGAGUCUAAAUUUAUAAAAUAAUUUGACUUUAAUUAUAUAAAUUGUUAUUUUAUAAAGUUUUAUUACAAUUAUAAGUUGAUGUAAUUAUGCAUAUUUUAAGCAAUAAUCAUCAGCGAAUUUAUUUAUAAUAGUAUUAAAAUUUUUAUAAAAGCAUUAAAUUUUUUAAUAUAUAAUAUCUCAAAUUAGGUAAGAUUACCCGCUGAAUUUAA